CGGAUUCUGAUGAUCAUGCCUUCCGUCUCGCCCCACCGAGAAGGUGGGAGGAGGAGGGGGGUUCCGUUUCCGACCUCAGAUCGGACGAGAUUACCCGCUGAAUUUAAGCAUAUCACUAAGCGGAGGAAAAGAAACU
rnacentral:rRNA from 1 species